ensembl:lncRNA
UUACAUAUAACCACAAGGAAACAUCAGGCAACAAACCCUGAUUGAGAGAAUUCUGCAAAUUAACUUGUGCUCUAAAUCUCCAACCUGGCAGCUGAAUAGAACAUGUGGGCCUGGACGGAAUUACCAGCCAGGACUUUUUUUUUCCCUUCUUCUUUUGCAUACAGUGUAUUUAAUGUGACUAUUAGUAAAAUUUGAUUAAGGCUCAAGAGAAAAGCAUUUGAUUCAGUGUUAAUUUUCUAACCUCGAUGAGAGACUGUCCUUGUUUGGGGACAUACACAGAAAUAUGAGGGAAGCAUAAAGUCAAUGAAGAAUAUCACGGGGAACCUGUGUGAAGAUGAAAAUUCGUAUUGCUGUGCCCACAGCAUGUGGAAGUUCCCGGGCCAUAGCAGCCACCUGAGCCACAACAGUGACACCACCAGACCAUUAACCCGCUGAGCCACCGGGGAAUCCCUCCUUGUAAAACUUUAUACAUUUUGGAAUAGAUUCACAGAAAGUUGCAAAGAGGACAAAGUUCCCAUAUACCCACCCCCUUCUUUUUCUUUUUUACCCGUUUCUAUGAACACCUUACACUAGUGCGAGGUGCUUGUCAGAAUUUAAGGAACAAGCAGGGAUAUGGUGUCAGGAAAUCCCCUGCUCGAGGCCGAUUUCCUGAGGUGUUAGCCCAACGUCUCCUCUGUCCCAGGAUCGUCGUCAGCAUGCCUUUAGUCUCCAUGUCUCCUAAGUUCUCUUGGCUGUGACAGCUUCUCAGGCUCUCCUCGUUUUGAACAACUUUGACAGUUGUGAGAACUAGUGGUCAGGUUUUUGCAGAACGUCCGUCAACUGAAAUUUGUCUGAGGACUGUUUUGUUUUUUUCCUUUUUAGGACCACACCUGCAGCAUAUGGAGGUUCCCAGGCUAAUCGGAGCUGCAGCUGCUGGUGUGGCCCUAAAAAAGGGGGGGGGGUCGCUACACUUUCAGGGAAAGCUCUCUGACAUGUACUAAAAUACAGCAACCCAAGAAUGGAAUCCACACAAACUUAAAAGUAUAAGCACAGCAAAGAUGGACUACGCCGCUGAGCUAAAAUCUACUACAGUACUGCUGGGAGCAGCAAACUGGAAACCAAGUAAAUUCUUGUCAACAGGGGGUAGCUGAAUCAGCUGAGGCCCAGCCAACCGAUUCAGCAUGUGAAGUGGCUGGAAGCAUGACAGCAGUGUCCACGGGGAGUCCCCCCCCCACACACACAGAAAAGUGGCUCCAAGAGGAUCUUGUUUUUACCGAGAACCCAACACGGACGUGCCUGCUGCCAGGAGUGGGUAAGAUGCGGCAGGGGAGUGCCCGGCGGCUUGACAUCAACCGGGAAGAAGGCAUUACAGGGGCAGAGGGACAGCCUCUCGCGAUGCCAGGUCCCCUGGCACAGAGGUGAUGUGAGGAACAGAAUGACUGAUCAAGACCGGGGGUGGUUGUGACUUUCCUCCUCCUCCUUUUAUUGUUUUGCACUGUUCUUCACACACAGUCACAAAAUGUGAUGUUGUCUACAUGGCACACAUGUGGAUUAAUCUCCUAAAAUUUUAAUUUUCCUGCUUGCUAACAUUUUAUUAGGGAAACUCUUCCCUCUAAAACUCCCUCUUCGGCAAAGUUGUCCUACGGAAAUAAGCAGC